GAUGAAGAACGUAGCGAAAUGCGAUAAGUAGUGUGAAUUGCAGAAUUCAGUGAAUCAUCGAAUCUUUGAACGCACAUUGCGCCCGCCAGUAUUCUGGCGGGCAUGCCUGUCCGAGCGUCAUUUCAACCCUCGAACCCCUCCGGGGGGUCGGCGUUGGGGAUCGGCCCUGCCUCUUGGCGGUGGCCGUCUCCGAAAUACAGUGGCGGUCUCGCCGCAGCCUCUCCUGCGCAGUAGUUUGCACACUCGCAUCGGGAGCGCGGCGCGUCCACAGCCGUUAAACACCCAACUUCUGAAAUGUUGACCUCGGAUCAGGUAGGAAUACCCGCUGAACUUAAGCAUAUCAAUAAGCGGAGGA
rnacentral:misc_RNA from 1 species